UGCCCAGCAACUCCUAUCCCUACCUCCUCGCGGUACUGUCCGGGGUACGAGUAACCUUAGGGAAGAUCGGGUAACCAACCCCCGGUGGGAACUUUGGUCGUAUGCUGACAGGGAAGG
rnacentral:ribozyme from 1 species